rnacentral:rRNA from 1 species
AGCGAACGCUGGCGGCAGGCUUAACACAUGCAAGUCGAGCGGGCGUAGCAAUACGUCAGCGGCAGACGGGUGAGUAACACGUGGGAACGUACCUUUUGGUUCGGAACAACACAGGGAAACUUGUGCUAAUACCGGAUAAGCCCUUACGGGGAAAGAUUUAUCGCCAAAAGAUCGGCCCGCGUCUGAUUAGCUUGUUGGCGAGGUAACGGCUCACCAAGGCGACGAUCAGUAGCUGGUCNGAGAGGAUGAUCAGCCACAC